UUGUUUUCAGAGGAAGCCAGGCCGCAUUAGUUUAGUCUCUGAGGUAGGCCGCGGUCGUUUAGUCUCUGAGGUAGGCCGCGGUCGUUUAGUCUCUGAGGUAGGCCGCGGUCGUUUAGUCUCUGAGGUAGGCCGCGGUCGUUUAGUCUCUGAGGUAGGCCGCGGUCGUUUAGUCUCUGAGGUAGGCCGCGGUCGUUUAGUCUCUGAGGUAGGCCGCGGUCGUUUAGUCUCCGAGGUAGGCCGCGGUCGUUUAGUCUCUGAGGUAGGCCGCGGUCGUUUAGUCUCCGAGGUAGGCCGCGGUCGUUUAGUCUCCGAGGUAGGCCGCGGUCGUUUAGUCUCCGAGGUAGGCCGCGGUCGUUUAGUUGCAUUUGUCAGUAUUGUAUAAUUGAAUGAAUCAUUUAAGCUCAGUAACCAGGCACUGUAUUGAUCCUGUCUUUGGAGAUAAGUCUUGUGCCCAGGGAAAAUUAGAGUCUUUGGCCAACAGCAGAUGGUUGGAUUUGUGCUUAUCACCGUAACCACUCUGCUAACUGGUUCUGAGAGCGUAGCCAGACAAUGUGCCAUCUAUCAUAUUUCAAGUGCUCAGAUAUGAUCAUUAAUUCACUUCCUCACAUCUGGCUUCUGAUUACAUUACAUGAAUGUCAGAUGUUGAACUUGAUCUUAUUACGGUUCUGCAUCAUGGACAUUUCUUUGACCAGUGGCACCUCCUUAAGUUAAAUAUCACUCCUUUCACUCACCCACCGACCCAGUCACAUUGUGAAACUGUUUGUGCUAAACUCUGGGUCAACACAAUUCAGCUUACUGUUUCAGUUCAGAGAUUGUGUUCAUCAGGACACACAAUAUCAAACUGUUCCAAAGUGUUGUGAAAAAUAAGCUUUCCUUAUUGGACCUUUUCAGAUGGUACCUCCCUGUUUAACCUUUUGUUCUGUUUGUGCUGAGUGAAAAUGAACCAGUUGUAAUCCCCUGUGUUUGG